rnacentral:pre_miRNA from 1 species
ACCGUGGCUUUAGAUUGUUACUGUAGAUCUACAUUGGUAACAGUCUACAGCCAUGGUCG